UACAGUCUAAAAUUCUAGCUUCNGAAAAAGC
rnacentral:piRNA from 1 species